UACGAAGGGGGCUAGCGUUGUUCGGAUUUACUGGGCGUAAAGCGCACGUAGGCGGGUUGUUAAGUCAGGGGUGAAAUCCUGGAGCUCAACUCCAGAACUGCCUUUGAUACUGGCAACCUAGAGGCUGGAAGAGGUUAGUGGAAUUCCCAGUGUAGAGGUGAAAUUCGUAGAUAUUAGGAAGAACACCAGUGGCGAAGGCGGCUCACUGGCCCGGUACUGACGCUGAGGCGCGAAAGCGUGGGGAGCAAACAGG
rnacentral:rRNA from 1 species